UAGGGAAUAUUGCACAAUGGGGGAAACCCUGAUGCAGCGACGCCGCGUGAGUGAUGAAGGCCUUCGGGUCGUAAAGCUCUGUCGUAUGGGACUAACAAAAUGAAGGUACCAUGCAAGAAAGGAUCGGCUAACUUCGUGCCAGCAGCCGCGGUAAGACGAGGGAUCCUAGCGUUGUUCGGAAUUAUUGGGCGUAAAGCGGGUGUAGGCGGACUUAUAAGUCAGGUGUGAAAUCCCAGGGCUCAACCCUGGAAGUGCACUUGAUACUGCAAGUCUUGAGUGUGGUAGAGGCUAUUAGAAUUCCUGGUGUAGUGGUGAAAUACGUAGAUAUCAGGAGGAAUACCGGAGGCGAAGGCGGAUAGCUGGGCCAACACUGACGCUGAGGUGCGAAAGCGUGGGGAGCAAACAGGAUUAGAUACCCCUGUAGUCCCUGAGCGGGCUGGCAAGGCGCAU
rnacentral:rRNA from 1 species